UACGAAGGGGGCUAGCGUUGUUCGGAAUUACUGGGCGUAAAGCGCGCGCAGGCGGUCCUUUAAGUCAGGGGUGAAAGCCCAGAGCUCAACUCUGGAACUGCCUUUGAAACUAGAGGACUUGGGUACGGGAGAGGUGAGUGGAAUUCCGAGUGUAGAGGUGAAAUUCGUAGAUAUUCGGAGGAACACCAGUGGCGAAGGCGGGCUCACUGGCCCGGUACUGACGCUGAGGUGCGAAAGCGUGGGGAGCAAACAGGG
rnacentral:rRNA from 1 species